CUGUGUGAAGCAACCACCACUCUUAUAGCUGAUUGGCCGGAGAAGGCUCACAACAUGCUUUUGAAGCCCGGUGGUGGGCAUCUCUCCCUCUGAGUCUUCUGUUGCCUGCAGUCCAGCUUGGUCUUAUUAUAUCACCACAAAGCGAUCGACUUGUGAUGCGUCUCCCGCAGCUGGUAUGUUGAAGAAUCAUCUCAGAGGAUGAAACUUUAAAAGGUGAUGUGAAGUAAACAGCUGAGGCCAAAGACUCAUCAGGAAGGUGUUCACACAGCUUCCAGCAGAGCGCAGUUUUCCCAUUCACCUCCAUAUGACCACAAGUCUUUUUACAACCACGAUUACUGCCCUGUUUAGAGAUCUGAGCAUUAAAGGAUCUAAUUUUCCAGUCUCAGGAUGUGGACACUUUGUUGGACAGAGAUGGUGGUUCAUUACCAAAAUGACUGACCAGGUCAAUUAUCACCGACUCACAAACGACAGAAACUAUCUGAGCACAGAUCUGAAGUCAGUCUCGGAGGCUUUGGUUUGUGUUGUUUACACUUUGACUGUCAGUCACUUUUUGGAACAAAGUGAU